AUGAACGCUGGCGGCGCGCCUAACACAUGCAAGUCGAACGGCACCUAUCUUCGGAUAGAGGCGAGUGGCGAACGGCUGAGUAACACGUGGAGAACCUGCCCCCUCCCCCGGGAUAGCCGCCCGAAAGGACGGGUAAUACCGGAUACCCCCGGGAGCCGCAUGGCGCCCGGGCUAAAGCCCCGACGGGAGGGGAUGGCUCCGCGGCCCAUCAGGUAGACGGCGGGGUGACGGCCCACCGUGCCGACAACGGGUAGCCGGGUUGAGAGACCGACCGGCCACAUUGGGACUGAGACACGGCCCAGACUCCUACGGGAGGCAGCAGUGGGGAAUCUUGCGCAAUGGGGGCAACCCUGACGCAGCGACGCCGCGUGCGGGACGGAGGCCUUCGGGUCGUAAACCGCUUUCAGCAGGGAAGAGACGAGACUGUACCUGCAGAAGAAGCCCCGGCUAACUACGUGCCAGCAGCCGCGGUAAUACGUAGGGGGCGAGCGUUAUCCGGAUUCAUUGGGCGUAAAGCGCGCGUAGGCGGCCCGGCAGGCCGGGGGGUCGAAGCGG
rnacentral:rRNA from 1 species